AUAUUACCAAUAAGGUAUAUUUUAAUGAUGUACAAACCUUCCUAGACAAGGUUUAUGGGAAAGGAAGCAUUAAUGGAAGAGAGUUUUUUUGGGUUUUUUUUUUUUUGCUGAAAUUUAGUUGAUUUAUAAUAUAAAAUUUCAACCCAUCUGAAAGCAGAUGGAGCAGCAGAAACUGCUUUAUCAAAGAGAAAGGAGCUACAACCCAACGUAGGCAGCUGGGUGCCAGUGAGGAGGCCAGUGUACCCUGCAGAGCCUCAGAUGAGCUCCGGAUAGAAAGGCCUAGGGCCACGGACAGCAGGGCAGGCCAGGGCUGGAAAUGGGUUUUGGCUAAGUCUGUAUAAGGAGGCCUCAGGCUCCCUCCUACCCAAGACUAGGAAACCAGAAAGGACCAUGGGAAAUAGAGGCGCAGAGGCUGUGGACGUGGGGACCCCUGGCCCAGCUGGGGUGCAGCUGAGCCUCUGGGCUGUAAGAGUUCAGCAAAGGUCUGCAUCCUGAACCAGGAGACCCCUUCCCCUCCCUCUAGAAGGCCAGCAGCUGAGUGUCCUGCACACAUUUCAUAUCUCCCUCCAAAUAAAUAAAACACCCACCAUAGAUAUUAAUAUUUCGGGAUUCCCCAAAGUUAUGAUGCCUAACUAAUCAUAGAGAAAUACAGCAUCCACAUGCCUCUUUCACACACACACACACACACACACAGAGCUUCUGAGAGCCUUUGAUGCCCCCCUCUCAAAUAUGAGGGGUAUGUGAGGAUAACAGACAUUCAAAGGAUGCCUCCAACAAGAUAGACCAGAACAAACAGAAGAUCACAACUCAGGAGAAAGACAAUAGAGAAGAAUAACUCCUUUUAAAAAACUAAAAUUACCUUAGAGGUAGAGAAGCUACUCUAUCCAUAAAACAAGAAAUAGAUCUUGGAAUAUAAACAUAAACAUAAAAGCAUUUUGGAGUUCCCUUGUCAUGCAGCAGGUUAAGGAUCUGGCAUUGUCACUGCAGCGGCUCAGGCUGCUGCUGUGGCACGGGUUCGAUCCAUGGGCCAGGGAAUUUUGCAUGCCACCGGGUGGGUCAAAAAAAAAAAAAACCCACAUUUUUUUUAAAGGGGAUGGGGGAGAAAGUCAAGGAAAUCUAAAAAUUAGAACAAACGAAUAAAUGUGUAAUAGGAGGGAAAGAAAAAUAGUAGAGAAUAAGUCCAAGGAAUAGGCAUUCUAGAAAGACAUUACAGAGAAGAUAGUAGAGAGGAGAUUAAAGAUACAAUUCAAGAAUAUUGUCCAGAGUGAAGGAAACUCUUCUCCAAAUUGAAAGAGCCCACAAAGCAGGCACCAUGACACACCCGCAACAAAGUGUACCAGCAUGAAAUGUCAAAAUAGAUAAUUUCCAAAAAGCUAACAAGGAGCACACCGCUGGUGGGAAUAUGAAAGGUACAACCACUUUGGAAAGUAGUUGGAAGUUUCUUUCAAACAUAUACCACCUGUAUAAUUCAAAUAUUCCACUUCUAGGGAUUUACCCAAGAAAAAUAAAAGCCUAUGUGUAUACAAAGACUUGUACGCAAUUGGUCACAGCAGCUUUCUUUGUAAUAUUCUCAACCUGGAAACAAUCCAAAUAUCCAUCGACAGCUGAAGGAAUCAACAAAUUGUGGUAUAAACAUACAACAGAAUCAAUUUUUUUAAAUAAUAAAUUUUACAGAGUUCCCUGGUGGCCUAGUGGGUUAAGGAUCUGGCAUUGUCACUGUUGUAGCUUGGUCACUGCUGUGGCCUGGGUUCAAUCCAUGGCCCAGGAACUUCCACAUGCUGUGGGCACAGCCCCAAAAAUAAAAAGAAUUACUGAUACAUUCAACAACAUGGGUGAAUCUCAAAACAAUGAUGCUUAGUGAAAAAAAGGCAGACCGAGAGGGGUUCACUGUAUGAUUCCACUUAUACAAAAUUCUGGAAAAUGCAAACUAAACCAGAGUGACAGAAAGUAGAUUGGUGGUUGCUUGGGGAUAAUAGGGAAUGAGGUGGGAAGGACGGAUUUCCAAGGGACACGAAGUUUUGGGGUGAUGGAUAUGUUCAUUAUCUUGAUUGUGGUGAUAGUUUCACAAGGGUAUACAUUUGUCAAAACUUAAAUCAUAUACUUUAUUUUUUGGGCUGCACCUGUGGCAUGUGGAAGUUCCAGGCUAGGGAUAGAACACAUGUCACGUGGCAGUGACAACACCAGGUCCUAAAGCUGCUGAGCCACAUGGGAACUCCAAAAUCAUAUACUUUGUAUAUGUACAUUUCAUUGUAUAUUAUGUAAAUAAAAGGGUUUGUAAAAAUCACCUGUGAGAAUAUAAAAUAGCAUAGCCCCUUUGGAAACAGUUGGGCAGUUCCUCAAAAAGCUAAACAUGAAAUUACCAUAUAAUUUAGAAAUUCCACUGCUAUGUAUCUACUCAGGAGAAAUGAAAACAAAUGUCUGCACUAAAAUAUGUGUGUAUGAAUGUUCAUAGCAGCAUGAUUAACAGUAGCCUAAAUGUCAUCAACUGAUGAAUAAGACGACAGAUAUGCUAUAUCCACACAACAGAAUAUUAUUCAGCAAUAAAAAUGAAGCCCUGAUGUAUUGCUACAUGAAUGCACCUAACACACAUUUUGCUAGGUGAAAGAACCACAACAAAAAUACCAUAUAUUGUAUGAUCAUAUUUAUAUAAGGUUCAAAAUAAGCAAAUUGGUGGGGACAGAAAGUAGAUUAGUGGUUACCUAAGCCUGGAAGCAAAGACAGAAUGCGGAGUGACUGUUAGUAGGUACAAGCCUUCUUUUGGGGAUGAUGAAAAAGUCAUAAAAUUGGAUUAUGGUGAUGGUUGCACUGCUCUAUAAAUAUACUAAAAAUCAAGCGUGUAUGCUCUAAAUAGGUGAACCCUGUGGUAUAUAAGUCAUCUCUCAAUAAAAUUGUUAAAUUUGUUUUAAUUGCAAAGAUCAAAACCAGCUCACAUACAAGGGUUCAGAAUCAAAUUGUCAUUGGACUUCUUGGAAAACUAUUGGAGGAUACGCUGCAGCAAUAUAAGAAAAUGCAAAAAGGCAGGGAAACACAGGCUUCUGGGAACAGGGGCAACCCAACAUCAAAGAGAGGCAAAGUCCCAGCCGGGAUGAGGGGUGAGCGUGUGAUAAAGCCAGGACAGCCAGUCCAGAGAGAAGCAUGACAGGGAAGGUUCCAGAAGCUUCACCUGAUGAGUCUGAAUGUUGAUGUAUUGUAGAGCAUUUGAUGAAUCUGUUGCUCUAUUUGGUUAAAAUUAGUGACAAGUUUAUAGAAAACUAGCCAAAGAAAAAUCAGACAAUUAUUAACCAGAGGAAGAACCCCCAAAAGCGCAAGAAAGAAAACAGUCAAAAUAUACUACUUGUAAUCAAUAACGGCAUAGUCAUGAUUCAUAAACACUAUUAACUGAAAAUUGACAUAUUUGGGGUGGAGGGGGAAAAGUAAACCCUCAUCUAUCACAAUGGGAAGUCAGCAGAAAAAGUCUAAGAUUGUUUCUUUAAGAAAC
rnacentral:lncRNA from 1 species